GCGAGAGUGGCGGAAUUCGGCAGACGCACCGGGUUUAGGGUCCGGCGGGAUAACCGUGGGGGUUCGAGUCCCCCCUCUCGCA
rnacentral:tRNA from 1 species